rnacentral:lncRNA from 1 species
CCGCCUGCGAAGUGCUCCGCGGCCGGCGGAGACGCGGGCAGCCAGCGAUGGCCGCGGAGGGGGCGAACUGGGUUCCGGCCCUCGGAGGCUGACGGAAGGCGGUGGCUGAGGAGCGGCGCCUCUGGUUGAGCGCUCGCCGUGUGUCCCGCACCUGUCUGUCCUGCCGCCGCCCGGUAAGGUAGGAAAGCACAGCACAGCACCGCACAUCUCCAGUCGGACUGGCUACAUUUCAAGGGCUCAACCAUCACGCGUUACCAGUGGCUACUGCAUCAGACUGUGCAGUGCUAGAUGGGGAGUCAGAAGAGAAACCAAGUGAUUUCCAUGUCAAGUGGUGAACAGGCUAAGAAGAAAACCUACUCCGAGUGAAGAUGAUGAAGAUGAAGACCGUUAUGAUCCACUUCCACUUAAUGAAAGAUGAAUAUAUUUUCUCUUCCUAAUGAUUUUUUUUUUUUUUUUUUUGGAGACAGAGUCUCGCUGCAUCCCCCAGGCUGGAGUACAGUGGUAUGAUCUUGGCUCACUGCAACCUCUGCCUCCUAGGUUCAAGUGAUUCUCCUGCCUCAGUCUCCCGAGUAGCUGGGAUUACAGGCGCCCACCACCAUGCCCGGCUAAUUUUUGUAUUUUUAGUAGAGAUGGGGUUUCACUAUGUUGGCCAGGCUGGUCUCAAACUCCUGACCUCAGGUGAUCUGCCUGACUUGGCCUCCCAAAGUGCUGGGAUUACAGGCAUGAGCCACCUUGCCUGGCCUCUUCCUAAUGAUUUUUUAAAGUACAUCUUGUUUUCUCUGUCUUACUUUAUCAUAAAAAUAUAUGAUACAAAUAAAAUACAGAAUAUGUGUUAAUGGACUGUGUAUGUUAUGAGUAAGCCUUCCAGUCGACAGUGGGCUAUUAUUGGUGGUUAAGUUUUGGGGGAGUGUGUGUUCAAGGGUCAACCGCACUUCCUGAGGGCACUGUGAGAACUAAGUUAAAUAACCCACUUUUACAAUCUUUGGAACCGGGGGCAGGUGGCUGGGGCUCACACCUGUAAUUACAGCACUUUGGGAGGCUGAGGCAGGAAGAUCCCUUGAGGCCAAGAGUUUGAGACCAGCCUGGGCAACAAAGCAAGACUCUGUCUCUACAAAAAUUUU